UGCCUGCAUGUGGACAACAUUUAACAUUUUAAAAUGUGGCUUCUUGUAUCAAAGUUAAACUAAAUAUGUUUCUCGCAGCACGAAAAUACUUUAUUGUUUAUGUAACAGGGAAAGUGCACAGUUUUUUAAUGCAUUAGAUGAAAACUCAUUUUUGAAGCAUUGACAUGUAUGACAUUAAAGUAAAUAUCUUUUGUCAAUUCUCAGACAUUUUAUAAACAAAACAAUCUAUUAAUUACACAAACAGCUGACAGAGGCUCACUGAUCCAUAUGUACUGGAAGAUGAAGGAUGUCUCCUGCAGCCCUAUUUAGUAGUUGCUGGUGAGGAUGCGCAAUUGAACACAACACGGUUUAAACUUCCUCACGUCUUUACUGUAACUACAAUAUUUACUCUUGUAUUCACAUUUACAUUUGCUAAGUUGGCCUCUGACUGUACAAACUUUGAUUUAUUAUUGAAACACUGCAGCAAGAGGAAGCUAAUUGAUAUAAAUGUUAACUUUACAGUGUUAAUAUUGGAGAUACACAAAAAGAAAACAUUUAAUUUAGAAUAUAUGAUUAUGGAUUCUGGAUUACAGAUAUUUUAUAAUUCAGCAGACUUUAAAGGGGGAAGAAAAUAUUAAUUUGCACAAUUCAGGCAGAGGACACAGUAUUAGGACGCAGCAGAGGAAGCAGGUCAGUGUAAAGGACACUUAAACCGUUUCAUAUUGGAACGGAUCCCGGCCGAGACUGUGUUUGUAAACUCCCGACACACGUGAUGCUGCUAAGCUAGCCCACCUGCUAGCUCUCCGGAGCUGUAAAGGUUGAGUUUCUGAGGUGCACUUGAAUGCAUCAGAUGCUGAUUCGGAAAAGGAGGGAAAUGGCAGCAUGAGGGAAACAAGGCUCCACAGCGCCACAGCGGCCAUUUAGGGUCUUUGUCGUGGAGGUUCUGCAGUGGGUCGAUGAAGUUCUGUUUGACCUCCAUGUCCAGAGCGUCCUUCACCUCCCCGAGCUCCUUCAUUGACUCGCCGGCAUCGAUCAGAGCCAUGCCUGGGAAGGGAAGGGAUGAUGGGAAAACAGAGAGAGUGGAAGGACGGUGAGAAGUGAAAGAGAUCGCAAUCUGGUCGAGCAUCUGUGGACUAGGAACAAACCUGAUCCAGGGAGACCCAACCCUGCAACCCACAGGACCCAAAGGAUCCACUGCCAAUGUGCUGACACUACAGGACACCCGAUGGGUCAGAUCUAAUUUGGCAACACAAGGGGGACCUACUCAAUACAAGGCAGGUGGUUUUACUGAUAGCGAUAGCUGCUUUCUUUCAGUCUCUGUUGUGUUUUGAAAGCUUCACAACAGCGAGUUUGAUGUCAGAUACAGAAACCAAUGGUCACUUCUGUGAUCUAAAUGUACCAACAGACAGACAGACGUCAUUUGGAAACAAAGCAGUGACAUCAAACUUAAUUUCAUACAGGUUGGUUAAAAAAGGUGCCAAACGAGUCUUCUCCAGACCUCAAGGACCAUAUCGAGACAUUACUUCUACAUUCACUUCUGGAGAGAAUGAAUGGAUCUACCAUGAUACCCUUUUGGUUUAUAUAUGUGCACAUGUUGCUUUCGCAACCUUGGAUACGUCUUUCUCCUGCUCAGUUCGUCAUCGUGAUCAGAGGAAGUGCCGCAGAGUGACACCUCCCGCUUUCUAAUCGCCUCAGGUUGCAGGGACAGAGGAGGGAGGAGGAGAGUGGGAUUUUCCACAAUCGUGACUCACAUCAGUUGCCCACGCAUUAGUGGACCACACACUCUCUCACACACACCGGUAAACAUGCAGUACCAACAGAAAAGUACAGCUCUCAAAAUACACUCAGAUUCAUGGGAAAAGUCCACUUUGGUGCAAGUGCAUGAAUAAUUAAACAAAUACUGCAGCCACUGCUAAAAAUAAUAAUGUUUAAUUUUAGUUAUUUGUAAUGGAGUAUUUUUACGUUAAUAUAUUGGUACUUUUACUUAGGUAAAGGAUGUGAAUCCUUCUUCCACCACUGCCAGCAAGCUCAUUAUGCAAACACUCAAAUCAAAAUGACAUGUUGACUCAACAGCUAAUGAUGUGUGUGUGUGUGUGUGUGGUGUGUGUGUGUGUGUGUCAGGCAGAUGUCACACAUCUACAUCAAACUAACAAACCAUGCAAACAUAAAGGUAAAUAUGUGUGUUUAUGUAACUGCUUAUACACCUGAGCACCAGUGUGUGUUACUGACAUGUCGAUGGACGAUUGUGAGAAGACAAAAAAAGGUGUGUAAUAAACAUAGACAGAUUUAGAGCCAACAGGUAAAAGGCCCCCGACACCCAGACCGUUUUUUGUUUUUUUGUGGUCAUUUAAUGUCUCUUUAUGGUCAUUUUGAGUCUCUAUGUUCAUUUUCUGUCUGUUCAAAGAGUUAUUUGACUUUCAAACAAGAAAUACGAACGUCAUCACAACAUGAGACUGUUCUCCUAUAAAAAAUGACUAUUAUAAUGACCCACAGUAACGUCUUCUUGCUAAGCGACAUCUAGUGUCCAUAGUAAUUAUGACAUCUAUUAAGUAGAUGACAGUUAUUGUUGUUUCUUUGGCAACUUUAGCCAAAACCAUGAUCUUUUCCUAAACCUACCCAGGUUUGUUUUUAUGCCCAAACCUAAACAGAUAUUGUUCAAUAACGUUAACCGCAUGUUUAUCAGUGUUACCAUGACGAUGAAGCUGCUAGACGCCUGGCAUGUUGCCUCACUGGAAUACAUCUUGUCACCAGUAGGGGCGGCACUUCUAAACGGUCUUCUUAGUCGUAUUUAAGUGUAGAAACAAAUGACCGGUAUGGUUGUAUGAGUUGGAGGACUUGUUUCACAACAUCAACAACAAUCAUAUUGUACAGGUCCAGGGGUCCCAGGUGGUCUGGAGGCCCCUGGACCUGUGCUCAUUAAUCCACCUGUGAUUAGAAAAUGUAAAAACAAUACAAAACGAUAGCAGGAAAUAAAGUGAGAAGGACAGACAGAUGAGGAGGAAGAUGCAGUUGCCAUAGAGACAGGGAUCUGACUGGGUCCUCUCGUGUUUCCAGGAACACACACACAUACACACACACACACACAGUUGUCUGUAAGGAACACCGAGUCUGGUUGCAGAGAGGUGUACUGACACACUGUUACAUAACUGUCUCAGCAGUGAUAGUUUCUUCUACUGUUCCUCUCUUCCUCUGUCUCUACACACCGUAUCUGACUUCAAUUUAUUUCCGUUUGACCGGCUUUUAAUGGUCAGGAGCAGAGCACUGGUAUUUUAUUUAUUUCGUCUUUCAUCUUUUCACACCCUGAAAUGUCUGAUCUACAGUGGUGCUACAUAAACAAACCUCUACCACUUUAAAAAACUCAGUGAUCUUCGUUAUUUCUUAGUCGUCUCACACAACACUUCUCCUGCUCUGUUCAUGUCGACCUUUGAUUUCUGCGACAGCUUUGUUAAAUUUUGACUGCGCCUCCUGCUGGUCGCUGCCACGUAGUGAAAAUCAUUGUUUCAAGACACAACCUCGUUCAUACGAAUAUAUCGAUUAAAUUCCAUGUGAUCGACAAAA